rnacentral:sRNA from 1 species
UCUGGAUUAAAAGAGAGUGUUUGGGGU